UUUCCGUAGGGUAACCUGCGGAGGGAUCAUUACUGAGUUUACGCUCUACAACCCUUUGUGAACAUACCUAUAACUGUUGCUUCGGCGGGUAGGGUCUCCGUGACCCUCCCGGCCUCCCGCCCCCGGGCGGGUCGGCGCCCGCCGGAGGAUAACCAAACUCUGAUUUAACGACGUUUCUUCUGAGUGGUACAAGCAAAUAAUCAAAACUUUUAACAACGGAUCUCUUGGUUCUGGCAUCGAUGAAGAACGCAGCGAAAUGCGAUAAGUAAUGUGAAUUGCAGAAUUCAGUGAAUCAUCGAAUCUUUGAACGCACAUUGCGCCCGCCAGCAUUCUGGCGGGCAUGCCUGUUCGAGCGUCAUUUCAACCCUCAAGCUCUGCUUGGUGUUGGGGCCCUACAGCUGAUGUAGGCCCUCAAAGGUAGUGGCGGACCCUCCCGGAGCCUCCUUUGCGUAGUAACUUUACGUCUCGCACUGGGAUCCGGAGGGACUCUUGCCGUAAAACCCCCCAAUUUUCCAAAGGUUGACCUCGGAUCAGGUAGGAAUACCCGCUGAACUUAAGCAUAUCAAUA
rnacentral:rRNA from 1 species